rnacentral:rRNA from 1 species
GACGAACGCUGGCGGCGUGCUUAACACGUGCAAGUCGAACGCUGAAGCUUGGUGCUUGCACUGGGUGGAUGAGUGGCGAACGGGUGAGUAAUACGUGAGUAACCUGCCCUUGACUCUGGGAUAAGCCUGGGAAACUGGGUCUAAUACUGGAUACGACAUGUCACCGCAUGGUGGUGUGUGGAAAGGGUUUUACUGGUUUUGGAUGGGCUCACGGCCUAUCAGCUUGUUGGUGGGGUAAUGGCUCACCAAGGCGACGACGGGUAGCCGGCCUGAGAGGGUGACCGGCCACACUGGGACUGAGACACGGCCCAGACUCCUACGGAAGGCAGCAGUGGGGAAUAUUGCACAAUGGGCGGAAGCCUGAUGCAGCGACGCCGCGUGAGGGAUGACGGCCUUCGGGUUGUAAACCUCUUUCAGCACGGAAGAAGCGAAAGUGACGGUACGUGCAGAAGAAGCGCCGGCUAACUACGUG